rnacentral:rRNA from 1 species
GACGAACGCUGGCGGCGUGCUUAACACAUGCAAGUCGAGCGGAAAGGCCCUUUCGGGGGUACUCGAGCGGCGAACGGGUGAGUAACACGUGAGUAAUCUGCCCUUGGCUUUGGGAUAACUACCGGAAACGGUGGCUAAUACCGGAUACGACGUACUCAGGCAUCUGAUGUGCGUGGAAAGUUUUUUCGGCCAGGGAUGUGCUCGCGGCCUAUCAGCUUGUUGGUGGGGUAAUGGCCUACCAAGGCUUCGACGGGUAGCCGGCCUGAGAGGGUGACCGGCCACACUGGGACUGAGACACGGCCCAGACUCCUACGGGAGGCAGCAGUGGGGAAUAUUGGACAAUGGGCGGAAGCCUGAUCCAGCAACGCCGCGUGAGGGAUGACGGCC